AACAAAACACUUUUAUCGAUUGAAACCACCCCUAGGUGUUUUCUCCAAGUGUUUUCUCUGAAUUGAAAAUCUAUUGUUGCGACUCUUUUCUCUGAAUCCCUAUUGCACUGCAAGCUCAUCCGCCGUAGCCUCAUUGCGCCCUUCUUGAUCCUCUAUCACCCUUCAUUCCUCCCACCCACACCCCUGCCAUCGUGCCCUACUUCAUCUAUGCCUCUCCAUUCUCUUGCAAUCAGUGCCUCCUUCCCACUGCCCUAUUGUGCGCUAUCUCACUUCGUGUAGAAAUGGUCUUCCGCACAGUCACAGUCGCAAUUUCCCUCCACACAGUUUGCAGCUGCCAUCAUCCUCGGCGCAGUGCCCACCCGCUCACGGCUAUCAUAUAUGGAUGUUCAGCUGGAGGAUUGACUUCGAUAUUGCAUUGUGAUUACUUUUGAGUUCUAUUGCCUGCAGGAGCUAAAGUUAAAUGCCUUUCAGAUAUAUUGGUAUAUUUUCAUUCACACCCAUUAUAUUUAAUAAAAAAAAUGCACCUGACGAUCUUAUUAUCUCUAACAAUAACAUCAUAAUAGAAAGGGAAUCAAUAGUAAAAAUCAUAGGCUAAUAGCUCCUAAUAUAUACAUAGACGAUAUAUAUAAUUAUGAAGGUAAUCAAAAGCAUGUAGUGUGCCAUCCAUGAGGCAGCAUAAGUGUGAGAUCUUAAUUAUGAAACUUAUGAGGUUUUAUUAUGAAACUUUAUUUAGGAGGUAUAUUUAGGAGGUUUUAUUAUGAAACUUUAUUUACCUUCAUCCUGUUUAAUAAGGCCUUAAAGUUUCUUGCCACUUCAACCAAAUCCAUGAAUGAAUUGCUUAAUGUUUCUUUUUAUCUUUUUUUAAGAAAAACAUAAAAAGAAACUCCAUCUUCCAAAUAAGGAAAGUGUGAAAGUUCAUUCUUAUCUUUAAUUUAAGAUUGAGUAUACAUAUGAUUGUGCAUCUGUUAUAACUUUAGGAAGAAAGCCAAGGGCCGCAAGGAAUGAAAAGCACCUAUUUUUUGUUGGUAAAAUUUAGUAUUAAGACUGUAAGAAAUAGGAGAGUAAAGAAAAUGAGGAAGCAGAUGCCUCAAAGACUUAUUGUUUCUCUCAGUACUUACUUUUCUAUUUGACUACUCUUUGGUAGUCAGUGAGAUUUCUUCAACAAGACAGUAUGCUAGUACCACUUUCUUAUCGAUUAACUUGUUUAAAAUUUCAAUAAGUAACCAAAAGGCUUGUCACAGAAAUCCAUGAUAGAUCAGAAGGUGGCAUUAUGGAAGAAAUAAAGAUUUAUGUUGGUGUAAAUAUACUGAAUUAGUGAGAUAUGCUCUUUUUUAACUUUGUUAAUGCACGUUUGGGCAUUUAAGAUUCUCAAUAUAUUCUUCUCUUGCCCAUGGCACAAGGAAUCUCAUAGGGCUCUCUCUCCUUUUUACAUUUUAUUUUAAUGUUUUUUUUAGAGGGAGGGAGACUAGGAAAAGAAUAUCAAAUAAUACAAGAGAAGGGAGAAAAAGAGAUCCUCAGAACUUAUGCUUUGUGCCAUGGCAUCUUCCCCUCUUUAUGCUAGCCAAUGAAAUUUAAAUGUGUAGAGCUUACUUUUUGCUCCUUAUUAAUGUACAGUGAAAUUGCUCAUUUUAAAUGCAUUGUCCUCUUAGUCUAUAGUGUGUGAUAUGAUCUCCUCUUGUACAUUCAGAAAGAACUUUAUGAGUUUAUAUUGCGGACUAUUUCAUAGGACUCGUUGAUGCAUUAUGCGGAUUA